AAGAGCUAGCCCAUGACUCUCUCAAUUCAGAGCUGUUCAAGGUUCAUAGUGAGUCCUGAUCAUACAAUACUUAGAUAAGAGGCCAUUGGUAACCUCUUUCUAUUAUGAGCUAGAUAGUGAGCAAGCUUUCAUCAUCUGAAUGAGCAUAUGUCUCUGCCAUAAAAACCGUGGCAUUAGGCAAAAAAGAAAAUGAAUACUGUAUCUGUCCCCCCACCCCCCACAUCACCACAGAUUCUGUACAUAAAAGCAAGGUCUUUUUAGUUGUCACAUCUCCUCAGGCUCCUCUUAGCAAUGACAAUGUCUCAGCUUUGCUUGUUUUGGUAACCAUGAUGGUGUUGAGUCCUGUUAGGGGUUUUGUAGGCUGGUCCCUCAACAGCUGCAUGUUUUUCUCAUGGACUAGAUUGGUUUGUGGGGAGCAAGAGCACAGAGGCAAAGUGCUGAUUUGUUACUUCUUAUCAUGUCUUGACUUGAUGACCUUGACCUUGAACAACUGGCUGAGAGUUGAGUCAGGUUUCCCCACUGUGUAUUUACUUCACCCUCCGCUUCCACACUGUGCUCUUUGAAGUCUGUCUGCCCAGUGGACACCUAAGGAGUGGGGAGUUAGACUCUUCCUUGAGGGCAGACUUAUCUGGGCAUUUUUUAAAAAAAAUUUCUGCAUAGGAGAUUUAUGUUUUUCUCUAAUUCAGUCCUUUAUUCAUAUCAUUAUGAACUCAUGGACAUUAUAUUUUAUACUUUGGGUUAUACUCUAUCUUAUUGAUUUAGUUGCUCAACUUGUUCUGCUCUGGCCAACUCUUUUGGUUAUUGGCUGUGUCUCUUGUGCCACCGGAGACCCUCCUUUCCUUCCUUCCUCUCUUCCUUGUUUUUUGAUGCAAUUCUUCCUUUCUAACACUGCAGGUGCUUCAGAACCCAGGUUUCUGAGUGAUUGCAAAAAAAAAAAAAAAAAAAAAAAAGCCUUCCUGUCAGUCUGUGAAGGACACUUAGUCUUUUGAGAAAACACAAUUCUGUAAGGCCUCUUGAGAUUCCAGAAUUGUUUGUUUCAAAAUUUAAUCUAGACCAGUGGUUCUCAAAAUAUGUUCCCGGGAGCAGCUGCAUCACCUGGGAACAUGUCAUAUAUGCAGAUGAUGUGGUCACCUCAGACUUAGUCCUAUGUAGCUCAGUGGUAGCAUUCUUGCCUACUAUAUGCAAGGCCCUGGGUUCAAUCCCCAACACACAAAAAAUAAGAAUAAAAAAGACGGUAGCUUGGAAUGAAUUGGGGGUUUAUUCUUCUUUUGGGCCUUUCCCCUAUGAGACCAUAAACACCAUCAAGAUAAAGACUAGGCUGUCACCAGUGCCUAGAACAGUGCCGAGACACACAAGGUAUGUCUACAGUGAACAUUUGUGAAAUGAUUGUGUUAUUUUUCAGGCUUUUGUUCAUAUAAUACUUUGGGGUUUCUACCUCAUGUGCAUACCAACUCUACUGUUCUACUACUUUUAAAAAAAAUGGAGAUAAAAGUUAUGUACAAUGAAAUAUGAGGUUCUUAAGGAUAUAUUGUAUUGGGGUUUAAUAGAUGUAAGUAUACCUUAGUAGUUUUCUUUAAAUUGACUCUUUUUGUUGUAUUUAUGACUGCAUUAAUAGAAACCAUGGCUGGUAGUCUUUGAUAUUUAUUUUUCCAAUCAGCACUAAAAAUCAGUGCAUAUUUGUUAAAAUUGACAUAUCAGUCCAAGUGCCACCUAGAACACUCACCUAAACUCUUUUGAGAAACAUUUCAAAGAAAGUGCUUCCCAAGGUGGGUGGAACUUUCUCGAUCACUA
rnacentral:lncRNA from 1 species